ACCCGACUGCUAUCGGAUUGGGAUUUAGCCAUGUUAGUUGCGCGUUCCCUGGCUACAGGGGACGCAGCGUACGGCUCAGUAACACGUAGUCAACCUACCCUGGAGACGCGGACAAACCCGGGAAACUGGGGCUAAUCCGCGAUAGAUGACCUCAUCUGGAAGGAGAGGUCGUCCAAAAGGAGGCACGGGUAUGCUCCGUGCUUUCCGCUCCAGGAUGGGACUGCGGCCGAUCAGGCUGUUGGCGGGGUAAUGGCCCACCAAACCUGUAACCGGUACGGGCUUUGAGAGAAGGAGCCCGGAGAUGGACACUGAGACAAGGGUCCAGGCCCUACGGGGCGCAUCAGGCGCGAAAACUUCGCAAUGCGCGAAAGCGUGACGAGGCUAGUCCGAGUGCUUCCCGCUAAGGGGAGCUUUUCUCGGCUGUAAAUAGGCAGGGGAAUAAGGGGAGGGCAAGUCUGGUGUCAGCCGCCGCGGUAAUACCAGCUCCUCGAGUGGUCGGGACGAUUAUUGGGCCUAAAGCACCCGUAGCCGGUUCAGUAAGUCCUCUGUCAAAUCCAACCGCUCAACGGUUGGCCCGCAGAGGAUACUGCUGGACUAGGAGGCGGGAGAGGCGGACGGUACUCCGCGUGUAGGGGUAAAAUCCUUUGAUCCGCGGAAGACCACCAGUGGCGAAGGCGGUCCGCCAGAACGCGCUCGACGGUGAGGGGUGAAAGCUGGGGGAGCGAACCGGAUUAGAUACCCGGGUAGUCCCAGCCGUAAACGAUGCGAGCUAGAUGAUUCGAUCGCAGUUCGCGAUCGAAGUGUCGCAGGGAAGCCGUUAAGCUCGCCGCCUGGGGAGUACGGUCGCAAGGCUGAAUCCGAGAUUUCGAUCUUCGAAGCUCGGCAGUUCACUUAAAGGAAUUGGCGGGGGAGCACCACAAGGGGUGAAGCCUGCGGUUCAAUUGGAGUCAACGCCAGGAAACUUACCAGGAGCGACAGCAGGUUGAGGGUCAGGCUGAAGACUUUACCUGACGAGCUGAGAGGAGGUGCAUGGCCGUCGCCAGCUCGUGCCGUGAGGCGUCCUGUUAAGUCAGGCAACGAGCGAGACCCUUGCCGGUAAUUGCUAGCCGAGGUAGCAGUAUCUCGGAGGCUAGUUACCGGGACUGCCGCUGCUAAAGCGGAGGAAGGAGAGGGCCACGGCAGGUCAGUAUGCCCCGAAACUCCUGGGCCACACGCGGGCUGCAAUGGUAGGGACAGUGGGUCCCGACCUCGACAGAGGAAGGCAAUCCUCAAACCCUACCCCAGUUGUGAUUGAGGGCUGAAACCCGCCCUCAUGAAUAUGGAAUCCCUAGUAACCGCGUGUCAUCACCGCGCGGUGAAUACGUCCCUGCUCCUUGCACACACCGCCCGUCGCUUCACCCGAGUUGGGUUUAGGCGAGGCCAGCUCUAGUUGGGCUGAUCGAACCUAAGUUCGGCAAGGGGGGAG
rnacentral:rRNA from 1 species